rnacentral:tRNA from 1 species
GGGGUUGUAGCUCAGUAGUAGGGUGCUUGCCUUGCAUGCAUGAGGCAUUGGGUUCAAUCUUCAGCUCCA